GCUGCUCCUCCCGUCAGAAGAUGGAGACUGCUUCCUUGCCCUUCAAUCCAAGCUGGCUCAUGACUUGCUUCAAUGAAUAGGAAAUGGCAGAAGUGAUGCUCUGAGGCUUCUGGGCCUAGACUUUAAGAGAAACAAGAAGAGCACCAGUGAUCUAAGGGACAAUUUCAAGAAGCCAAAUAUAAGUGCAAUUAGAUUCCCCAAUGGAGAAGAGCAAGGAGGGGAAUAAAAAAUAUAUAUUUAAAGAAAUGAAAGUGGAAUUUUUUCAAGUUCAUAAAAACUAUAAAACCUUAGAUUCAAGGCUACCAACGAACCCCAAGCAUAAGAAACAAAGAAAAUUUCAAGGAACAUCAUAACAAAAUUGCUCAAAACCAGAGAUAAAGAGAAGUUUUACAGUUAGCCAGAGGAAAAAAGACACAUUAAGAACAGAGAAACAAAAAUGAAGAUGAUAUCACAUUUCUCUUCGGAAGCAAUAUAAAUGAGAAGUUAUUGUAGCAACAUCUUGAAACUACUGACAGUACAAAACAAAACAAACUCCCAACAUGUCUGUACUUAGCAGGAAUGUCUUUUUUAAAUGAAGGCAAAUAAGACUUUUUCAGACAUACAAAGUCUGAAAGAAUUAAUCUCCAGCAGCCCUGCACUACAAGAAAUGUUAAAGAAAGUCCUGUAAGCAGAAAGAAAAUGAUACAAGAUGGAUCUAUGCAAAGGAAUAAAGAGCAUUAAAAAUGGUUAAUACAUGG
rnacentral:lncRNA from 1 species